CCUACGGGUGGCAGCAGUGGGGAAUAUUGGACAAUGGGGGCAACCCUGAUCCAGCCAUGCCGCGUGUGUGAAGAAGGCCCUCGGGUUGUAAAGCACUUUCAGUGAGGAAGAACGCCUGGUGGUUAAUACCCAUCAGGAAAGACAUCACUCACAGAAGAAGCACCGGCUAACUCCGUGCCAGCAGCCGCGGUAAUACGGAGGGUGCGAGCGUUAAUCGGAAUUACUGGGCGUAAAGCGCGCGUAGGUGGCUUGAUAAGCCGGUUGUGAAAGCCCUGGGCUCAACCUGGGAACGGCAUCCGGAACUGUCAAGCUAGAGUGCAGGAGAGGAAGGUAGAAUUCCCGGUGUAGCGGUGAAAUGCGUAGAGAUCGGGAGGAAUACCAGUGGCGAAGGCGGCCUUCUGGACUGACACUGACACUGAGGUGCGAAAGCGUGGGUAGCAAACAGGAUUAGAUACCCUGGUAGUC
rnacentral:rRNA from 1 species